rnacentral:rRNA from 1 species
GACGAACGCUGGCGGCGUGCUUAACACAUGCAAGUCGAACGGAAAGGCCCUGCUUGCAGGGUACUCGAGUGGCGAACGGGUGAGUAACACGUGGGUGAUCUGCCCUGCACUUCGGGAUAAGCCUGGGCAACUGGGUCUAAUACCGGAUAGGAGCCAUUUUUAGUGUGAUGGUUGGAAAGUUUUUUCGGUGUAGGAUGAGCUCGCGGCCUAUCAGCUUGUUGGGGGGGUAAUGGCCUACCAAGGCGGCGACGGGUAGCCGGCCUGAGAGGGUGGACGGCCACAUUGGGACUGAGGGGCGGCCCAGACGCCGACGGGAGGCAGCAGGGGGGAAUAUUGCACAAUGGGCGCAAGCCUGAUGCAGCGACGCCGCGGGGGGGAUGACGGCCUUCGGGUUGUAAACUCCUUUCGCUAGGGACGAAGCUUUUUGUGACGGUACCUAGAGAAGAAGCACCGGCUAACUACGUG